AAAUUGCCAAAAAUCAUUCAUAGCAUCAAAAGAUCGCUGGAUCAGAAGCAUGUCCACAAAUAAAGGUGCAUCAUAUGCUGCCAUCUUGGUCUAGGAAUUAACAUGACCUUAAUAUACAUAUAUUUACAAGCAUAUUACUUAGUUCACUAAUUUACAUAAUUAAACCAAACAGCUUCACUACAGAUCACUUGGUGACUCCAUAUUCUCCUUGUACGCCAUCCUAUGCUGGGCAGAAAUGCACACCUACAUGAUAACAUCAAGAAUUACAACAACCUAAUAAACCCUCUCAAAAGAUCGUACAACAUUAAAUAUGUGAAACCGUAAAUACUUCUGUGACGCCAAAUAACCUGCAUGUCUGUUGCACCAUCUAAUUCUCCUGAUC
rnacentral:lncRNA from 1 species